CCUACGGGUGGCAGCAGUGGGGAAUAUUGGGCAAUGGAGGCAACUCUGACCCAGCAACGCCGCGUGAAUGAUGAAGGUCUUCGGAUUGUAAAGUUCUUUUCUAAGGGAAGAAGAAAGUGACGGUACCUUAGGAAUAAGCCUCGGCUAACUACGUGCCAGCAGCCGCGUUAAUACGUAGGAGGCAAGCGUUAUCCGGAAUGACUGGGCGUAAAGGGGGCGUAGGUGGUUUGACAAGUUAGUAGCGCAACUCCGGGGCUCAACUUCGGAACUACUACUAAAACUGUUGGACUUGAGUGCAGGAGGGGCAAUCGGAAUUCCUAGUGUAGCGGUGAAAUGCGUAGAUAUUAGGAGGAACACCAGUGGCGAAGGCGGAUUGCUAGACUGUAACUGACGCUGAGGCACGAAAGCGUGGGGAGCAAACAGGAUUAGAUACCCUAGUAGUC
rnacentral:rRNA from 1 species